UCCUACGGGAGGCAGCAGGCUAGAAAUUUGGGCAAUGGGGGAAACCCUGACCCAGUGACGCCGCGUGCAGGAAGGAGCCCUUCGGGGUGUAAACUGCUGUCGUGUAGGGAGAAGGGUACUAAGGUGAACAAUCUUAGUACUUGACGGUACUACAGGAGGAAGCCCAGGCUAACCUCGUGCCAGCAGCCGCGGUAAUA
rnacentral:rRNA from 1 species